GACGAAGGAUGCAAGCGUUAUCCGGAUUCAUUGGGUUUAAAGGGUGCGUAGGUGGGCCGUUAAGUCAGUUGUGAAAUCCCCGGGCUCAACCCGGGAAAUGCUUCUGAUACUGGCGGACUUGAGGCCAGUAGGGGUCACUAGAACUGACGGUGGAGCGGUGAAAUGCGUAGAUAUCGUCAGGAAUGCCGGUGGUGAAGACGGGUGACUGGGCUGGUUCUGACACUGAGGCACGAAAGCGUGGGGAGCGAACGGG
rnacentral:rRNA from 1 species